GUCCAUAUUAGCAAAGCCAAUAGGAAAAAAAUUAAUUUAUAGUUAUUGUUUAAUUUAUAGAGUAUUAAUAGAGGUUAUACUGUAUUUGAUUUUUUUUUUUUGGCAACUACUGUAUUUAGUUUUAGAUUCAGUUUACUCAGUUAAACUAGAUUGUAACUUGUUUGAUUUACUCAGUUAAAACAAGGUUAACAUUAGUCUUGCCAAGAACAUGAUUACAUACAUGGAUUAGGUAUGUUGUGUGUUUGCCUAUUAAUAUUUUUUUGAGAAAUUGCAUUGUACACACAAGACAUAUACGUUAAUUAGGCAAAUGCACUAUUUACAUUAUCGAGGAGGUCAGAAGGUGUUAGUUUUACAUAUCUAACCUUGCUCACUUCAUACUUUCAUCAACCGGUCACCUAUUGUUCUUGUAAUACAAUUUUCUUCUUAAUUAUUUAUUUCUGUUUACUCAAUCCAACACGUAAUCUUUUUUGUGUCAGGCAAGUGGAAUUGUUUCUGUUACCGAAACUCGUUUAUUGGCUUCUUAGUAACGCAUACCAAAAGUCUCUCACUUCAUCCCCUUUUAUAUUAAGUUCUGUUGUUCCAUUGUUCUACUUCAAUCCAACCAUUCUAAAUUAGAUCUCAGUCAUACACCUCAAUUCAUAAAAUCCGAUGGAUCCAAACGAUGAAUCCCCAUCUCCGCUCCGGUUUCCUCCUAGAAUGUUUGCGCUUGGCGAAGAACCUGUCGGUGUUACGGUUACUCCUUACCACAAACCUACAUGCAUUCGCAAAAUUCUGAAUGCCCUCGAACCAGAUGAAGUUCAGUCUAUCAGGGAGACCCAGUUCGGAAAGCUUGUCGAAAUUGCAGACAAACCCUCGUUUUCUGGCCGGUUUGGUCUGUUCCUGUUAUCCCAGACAAACCAAAAUUCUUUCAAAUCCUUUUUAUUAUCUGAGAGAGUAAUUUCGAAAUUUCCCUAUUUGCUCGUUUUUAUUUUUUAAAAUUUUUUAUUCAUGUAAGUGUUUCAAGUUUCAAUACCCAAUCGUGAGGCUGAAGAAGUCCAUGAGGGUGACUGACCGACAAUACAGGUGGAGAAAACAUGGUUCCAGUUACCCAUAAUCGUGAGACUGAAGAAAUCCGUGAGGGUGAUGGGACCGACAAUACAGGUGGAGAAGACAUGAAAAUACAUCCUCGUUAGUUUCAGAAUCGUCCAAAUUUAUAUUUGGAUUUUGAAAUACUAAUAUUAGCAACAAUACACUCCACACUACCUACAUUGCUACGACUGUACUUAGCUUCUAUUCAUAAAGAUUGCAGACACCAUGUUUUGUUUGGACAGUCAAUGACGUUUGUGUCCCUUUUUGUACUGAUUUAUCUAUAUAUUAAUAACGAAUCCUUGUUCUCCCUU